rnacentral:rRNA from 1 species
AUUGAACGCUGGCGGCAGGCCUAACACAUGCAAGUCGAGCGGACGAAUGGAGCUUUUUCCUGUAUGCAGCGGCGGACGGGCGAGUAAUUCCCAGGAAUCUGCCCUGUAGUGGGGGAUAACGUCCGGACACGGGCGCUAAUACCGCAUACGUCCUGAUGGAGAAAGUGGGGGAUCUUCGGACCUCACGCUAUUAGAUGAGCCUAGGUCGGAUUAGCUAGUUGGUGGGGUAAAGGCCUACCAAGGCGACGAUCCGUAACUGAUCUGAGAGGCUGAUCAGUCACACUGGAACUGAGACACGGUCCAGACUCCUACGGGAGGCAGCAGUGGGGAAUAUUGGACAAUGGGCGAAAGCCUGAUCCAGCCAUGCCGCGUGUGUGAAGAAGGUCUUCGGAUUGUAAAGCACUUUAAGUUGGGAGGAAGGGCAGUAAGUUAAUACCUUGCUGUUUUGACGUUACCAACAGAAUAAGCACCGGCUAACUUCGUG